CAGACAUGGAGGGGGAUUACUCAGCUCAUUCAUUGAUGAAGAGCACAGCUAUGCACAUGAAUUGAUGUGAAUUGCAAGACUUCUUGAACACUGAUACUUUGAAUGCAUGUUGCAGCCCUAGGGUGCCAUUGUCUCCGGGCCC
rnacentral:rRNA from 1 species